UGGUCCUUUGCACAUGUUUUAUUCCCAUUGGCCCGGGGUCCCGGGCUGACAGUACUGCAGCUAUGCAGGUAGUGCAUAUAAGGGUGCACUGUGUCUGCACCAGGCCCUUGCACACUGGAGAGGGGGAAACUGGAGAAGAAGGACUGCAGGGGAUAAGCAACAUGAGAGGAGGAACAGUAUGCCUUCAGUCACUGCAGUGGAAGAGUGUUGCAGAUCUACAAGUUCCACCAGUUAUGAAUCAGGAGAGGAAAUCUGAUGACACUUUAUGUUGUGGGAUGGGUAUGUAUGGAUUCAAAUGUCACAUAAAAAACUUCCAUCUAUUGAUUUUUUUCCUGCAAAUCCAAUUCAGUCCCACACAGACCCAGGGAGACCGCCAUGCAGAAAAAACCCAGCCAGAUACUGGUUUGGAGUUCAGGACCUUCUUGCUGUGAGUGUCUCAAACUAGUCUGGGAAACUGUUGAUGGCUGUCUCUGGAACCAUUUUCCAAGGUUCUACCUGUAGCCCCACAUCCCAUGUACAUGUUGACAAGAAAGGUGCUUCCAAAAGUCUCAAGCAAGAAAUGUUCAAGCAAGAUGAUGCCAAAGAUGGUCGACAACGUGGUGCUGUCUUGAUGUUGGGUGGUCUUUGUGGUCAAAAAUGUAAGCUGUCAGAGUUCAGUACGUUGGACUUUUUGACUCUUGGCGGAAACGUGACAGAGGGAAGAGCACGAUCACAGCAAAGGUCGCGUGGGCGCUGGAGCUUAUCCCAGCUACCAUAGGACGAGAGGUGGGUACACCCUGGACCGGUC